rnacentral:rRNA from 1 species
AUUGAACGCUGGCGGCAUGCCUUACACAUNCAAGUCGAACGGCAGCACGGGUACUUGUACCUGGUGGCGAGUGGCGAACGGGUGAGUAAUACAUCGGAACGUACCUUAUCGUGGGGGAUAACGCAGCGAAAGCUGUGCUAAUACCGCAUACGCCCUGAGUGGGAAAGCGGGGGAUCGAAAGACCUCGCGCGAUUAGAGCGGCCGAUGCCUGAUUAGCUUGUUGGUGGGGUAAAAGCCUACCAAGGCGACGAUCAGUAGCUGGUCUGAGAGGACGAUCAGCCACACUGGGACUGAGACACGGCCCAGACUCCUACGGGGGGCAGCAGUGGGGAAUUUUGGACAAUGGGGGAAACCCUGAUCCAGCAAUGCCGCGUGAGUGAAGAAGGCCUUCGGGUUGUAAAGCUCUUUUGUCAGGGAAGAAACACCGGCUCUAACACAGUCCGGGAAUGACGGUACCUGAAGAAUAAGCACCGGCUAACUACGUGCC